UUGGAGGGCAAGUCUGGUGCCAGCAGCCGCGGUAAUUCCAGCUCCAAUAGCGUAUAUUAAAGUUGUUGCAGUUAAAAAGCUCGUAGUUGAAUUUCGGGAUCAAUUUGUCGGUCGUGCCUCGGUACGUACUGGCAUUAUUGGUUUCUACCUUCUGAAGAACCUUGAUGUCAUUAAUUUGGUGUCUUGGGGAAUCAGGACUGUUACUUUGAAAAAAUUAGAGUGUUUAAAGCAGGCAUACGCUUGAAUACAUUAGCAUGGAAUAAUGAAAUAGGACGUUUGAUUCUAUUUUGUUGGUUUCUAGGAUCGACGUAAUGAUUAAUAGGGAUAGUUGGGGGCAUUAGUAUUCAAUUGUCAGAGGUGAAGUUCUUGGAUUUAUUGAAGACUAACUACUGCGAAAGCAUUUGCCAAGGAUGUUUUCAUUAAUCAAGAACGAAAGUUAGGGGAUCGAAGACGAUCAGAUACCGUCGUAGUCUUAACCAUAAACUAUGCCGACUAGGGAUCGGAUGAUGUUAAUUUUUUAAUGACUCAUUCGGCGCCUUACGGGAAAC
rnacentral:rRNA from 1 species